CCGCUUUUCACUGCAGUUUCAGACUCAACUGGAACCUGCAGCAGUCUUUCGACGUCUUUCUGAUUUUUUACGUUGGAGACUGAAAGAACCACCUUCCUGAGUAUUUAUCAGAAUGUCCCUUCAAUCUUAUGAAAGUGGAACUGAAAACCAAAGGAAAACAGCAGUUCAGAAUUAUUUUCUGGGCCAAGACAAAACCAGCCUGGAUUCUCUCACCCUUACUCACAGUGAACAGUAGGCUACUCUGUAAAUAUUUCUCAUUAUUUCAAUAUGAAUAAAGGUCACCCAAUCUGGUGCUUAGGGAUUACAUAAUAAUUUUUCUUCUGUAUUUCCUCAACAUUUUAGAAAAUAUGCACAACUCAGUCAUUCUUGUUUCACACUUGAGAAGCUGGUGCAGAGCUAGAUCAAAUGAGUUAUCCUAUACCCUUCCACAAGGCAAAGGAAGCCAAAAAUUGAACCUCAUUUAUUUUUCUGAAUGGAUUUCAAUAGAACAGGGUAGCACUCUGUUAAACUUCCUUUCUCUUUCUGCACCGUUU